rnacentral:siRNA from 1 species
UGGACGAUAGCCUGCAAACCAC